ACGGAAGGCAGCAGUGGGGGAUAUUGCACAAUGGGGGAAACCCUGAUGCAGCGACGCCGCGUGAGUGAUGAAGUAUUUCGGUAUGUAAAGCUCUAUCAGCAGGGAAGAAAAUGACGGUACCUGACUAAGAAGCUCCGGCUAAAUACGUGCCAGCAGCCGCGGUAAUACGUACGGAGCAAGCGUUAUCCGGAUUUACUGGGUGUAAAGGGAGCGUAGACGGCGUGGCAAGUCUGAUGUGAAAGCUAUGGGCUCAACCCAUAAACUGCAUUGGAAACUGUCAUGCUAGAGUGUCGGAGAGGUAAGCGGAAUUCCUAGUGUAGCGGUGAAAUGCGUAGAUAUUAGGAGGAACACCAGUGGCGAAGGCGGCUUACUGGACGAUAACUGACGUUGAGGCUCGAAAGCGUGGGGAGCAAACAGGAUUAGAUACCCUGGUA
rnacentral:rRNA from 1 species